rnacentral:miRNA from 1 species
AUACAGCUAGAUAACCAA